rnacentral:lncRNA from 1 species
UGGGCUCCAUAUUCAAUUGCUUCAUCUGGUUGAUAUAUCAAGGAUCCAUUACAGGGUCAUAAUCCCUCUCUUGCACACCAUUUCUGAAACGGAUCCUUGAUAUAUCAACCGGAUGGGGUGGUUGAAUAUGGAGCUUGUGAUUGAGAUGAAUAUGGUGGUCGGGUGGUUGGAUGGUGGAUUUGCGCUGCAUCUGGUUGUGACAUGGCUGGUGGUGCAUGUUUGACGUGGGGAGGCUCCUGGAUCUGUUGGUGUGGUGUGGAUGGUCCCAUGGCUGUGACCAUGGUGGCUCCCGGGAGGUGUGGAGGGCUUCGUACUAUUUUUAUAUUUUUAUUUUAUUUUAUGUAUAUGUUUUUUGGUUUACUAUGUUUGAAUUUGCUAAUGUUCUUAUUUGUUUAUAUGAUAUGUUGGUUAGUAUUAUAUAGUUAUGUUUGUGGUUGCUGUGUUAAUUUAUCGUUCUAAUAUUUGAUAUGAUAUCUUGAUAGUCUGGAUGUGGUGUUGUAUAUGGUUUAAGUUUCAAAAUUGUAAGUUCUGGAA